UUUAUCACAAUAUGCUAAUAUUUUGAGAAGGACCUGUAUUCCCUUGACCAGACAACACUUGUCAUCUGCCCAGCAAGCUGAUGAAACAUUAAAAAAAUGUUUCAAGAACGUGGUAAGUCCUGAAGAAGCCAAUAAAGGAAAACAAGCCUACAUUUUGGAACAAGUUGUCUUAAUGUGUCAAUGGUCUCCAUCAGGUGCAGAAAGUUCAGACUGAAGUAGAGUUAAACAGAUUGUUAUGCCAACUACAUAUAGACAAAGAGUUUUGUCUCUGGCUCAUGAAAGCCAGUGGUCUGGUCAAAUGGGUGUUACCAAGACAUACAAGCUUCUGUAAAAACACUUUUUCUGGCCUGGUAUGAAACGGGAUGUCUCCAGGUUCUGUUGCAGAUGCCACGUGUGCCAGAUAGCUGGUAAACCAAAUCACGUAAUACCCCUUGCUCCACUGAGCCCUAUUCCAGUUAUGCAGCAGCCAUUUGACCAUGUCAUAGUAGACUGUGUUGGGCCAUUACCGAGAACAAAGUGUGGAAACCAAUAUUUGCUCACAAUCAUGUGUGCUGCUACGCGCCUGAAACCAUUCCUUUGAAUAAGAUUACAGCAAAAUCAGUUGAUAGAGCACUGACUAAUUUUUUUUCUGUAUUUGGCCUGCCAAAAACCUUACAGACUGACCAAGGAACAAUUUUCCAAUCGAAAUUGUUCAAGCAGGUGGCCCAAUCUCUAAAUAUUAAGCACAUUGUCUGCUCUCCAUACCACCCAGAGUCACAGGGGGCAUUAGAACGGUGGCAUCAAAACCUUAAGUCCAUGCUGCGCAAAUACUGCUUGGACACUGGGAGGAGUUGGGAUGAGGGGGUCCCAUUUGUAGUGUUUGCUGCUAGAGAAGCUGUUCAGGAGUCUCUUGGUUUCAGUCCUGCUGAAUUGGUCUUUGGUCACACACCUCAUGGACCUCUCAGAGCUUUGAAAGAAACUUUCAUGGUUCCUGCAGAAGGCUCUAAGAAUACAGUGACUAAAUAUGUACAAACAUUUCGUGAGCGCCUCUGUCAUGUUAACACCCUGGCUAAGAAACACUUAGCUGAUUCUCAGAAGAGAAUGAAAAAUACUUAUGAUAAAACAUCCGUUAAUAGGGAGUUCCAAAUGGGAGAUCAGGUUGUUGCUCUCCUUCCUGUUCUUGGCUCAGCCUUAUCUGCCAAAUUUGAUGGACCUUAUGAAGUCCUAAAGAAAAUAGGGGAGAAUGAUUAUGUAAUUGGUACCCCUAAUCAGCGGUGCAAGUCUCGUGUUUGCCAUGUGAACAUGCUCAAGUUAUAACACCCCCGACCUGCAUCAGAAACCACUGGGGUGUGUGCUCCGGUUGCAGCUACUGCUCAAUUAUAAGUAGAUGAACUGGGUGAUGAUGGUAUAAAAACAAAUUAUCCCAUCUGUUCUAGUCCUCGACUUACAAAUUCAGAGAUGUUAAAACCUCUGAAGAAUCAACUUGACCACUUGUCCCCCAAACAUCAGGAGGAUGUAGUGAUUCUAGUUGAGUACACAAGUUUGUUUGGUGAUGUUCCAACCUGCACUACAGUGCUAGAACAUGACAUAAAUGUCCAAAAUGCAAAGCCAAUCAAGCAGCACCCUUACCAUGCAAACCCUGUGAAACGUUCACUAAUGAAGCAGUAAGCUGAAUAUCUGUUGAAACAUGGUUUAGCUAAACCUAGUCAAAGUCCCUGGAGCUCACCAUGUUUACAAGAAACCAAGUCAGAUGGCUCACCACGUUUUAUCACAGACUUUCGGAAAGUAAAUUCUGUCACAGUACCUGACUCAUAUCCUCUCCCCAGGAUCGAGGAUUGUGUGGAUAAUAUUGGAGUUGCAAAGUAUGUUACGAAGUUAGACCUUCUUAAAGGUUACUGGCAAGUCCCUUUAACUGAAAAAGCUUCCAACAUUUCAGCCUUCGUUACUCCAGAUGACUUACAAUACACUGUUAUGGCAUUUGGUAUGUGUAAUGCCCCGGCUACCUUUCAGAGGUUGAUAAAUGGAAUAUUGCAUGGCAUUCCCAACUGCAGUGCCUAUUUAUAUGAUCUGGUAGUCUACACUAAGACAUGGCAGGAUCAUUUAAAAAUUUUAUGCCAAGUAUUUCACAGUUUGGCCCAAGCUUCUUUGACUCUUAACCUGGCAAAGUGUGAAUUUGCCAAGGUCACUGUGACCUAUUUAGGCAGAGAUUUGGGACAAGAACAGGUCCGUCCCAUAAACGCUAAGGUUGUGGCGAUUAACGAUUAUCCCAUACCCAAAACCAGACGUGAACUGCGCAGAUUUCUUGGAAUGGUUGGCUAUUACCGAAACAUUUGCGUAAAUUUCUCCUCUGUUCAACCAUUAACCAAUUUACUUAGCCCAAAACUUGAUUUUGUUUGGUCAGAUGAAUGUCAAAGUGCUUUUGAAAGUGCUAAAGCUCUUCUUUGCCAUUCUCCAGUGCUAGCUGCACCUGAUUUGACUUGACCUUUCAAACUGGAGGUUGAUGCCAGCGCUGUUGGGGCUGGCGCAGUGCUGUUGCAAACAGACUUGCAAGGUUUAGACCACACCCGGUUUGCUAUUUCUUCCCGCAAGUUUAACAACAACCAGCUGAACUAUUCGACUAUUGAAAAAGAAACCUUGGCCUUAUUGUUGGCCCUUCAGCAUUUCCAUGUGUACCCUGGGUCUAGCAGUUUACCGAUUGAUGUAUUCACUGAUCAUGGUCCGUUGGUUUUUCUCACGCAUGUAUAACCACAACAGCGCCUUAUGCGGUGGGCGUUACUUCUGCAAGAAUACAAUUUGAAUAUUAAGGAUAAGAAAGGAAAAGAAAAUGUUCUCGCCGAUGGCCUUUCCAGGGUGGGGAGUGUUACGGCCUCUGGGCUUGCAGUCUUUUCUUUUAUGCAGAUUCAGGUGUGGGAGCACACUCAGAUGAUUGGCUGCCUGUAGGCUGCUGGGGAACCUGAUUGGACCUGCUGAAUCACCAAGCCAAUCAGUGGAUGAGACCCACCUGCAUCCUACAAAAGGCUCCUGGAUUCAUUCUUUCAGUGGGGGAGCUUUUGGAAGAGGUUUUAUACAGCCGACCCCUGCUUUGCUUUGUGUGUUGAGUUUGGAGACUGUUUUGGAAGCUGCACAUUAUUUUGAUGCUGCUGACCCUCCUUGCGCUGCUUACCAGUUUGGUUAAAUGCUUGUUUGUUUUCUAGUUCAAUCUAGAGUGUUGUGUUUGAGAAUAUUGGGCUGGAUUUGUCAUUUUCUGUCAGCCGUAUUAUAUGUUGGAACCGUGCUCCUUGUAAUAAAUACCCUUAAAUGUUCUCCUUUUAACU